UUUGAUACGCGAGGAACCUUACCUCGGCUAGAAUACAGUUGGACCGUGGGUGAAAGAUCUUUUUGUUUCAAUAGACCGCCAGUAAGGUGGUGCAUGGCUGUUGUCAGCUCGUGCCGUGAGGUGUUGGGUUAAAUCCCGCAACGAGCGCAACCCCCAUCACUAGUUGCCAUCAGGUAAAGGUGGGAACUUUAGUGAAACUG
rnacentral:rRNA from 1 species